rnacentral:tRNA from 1 species
GCCGAAGUGGUGGAACUGGUAGACGCGCUAGACUCAAAAUCUGGUGAGGGCAACCUCGUGUCGGUUCGAGUCCGACCUUCGGCACCA